UACGAAGGGGGCUAGCGUUGCUCGGAAUUACUGAGCGUAAAGGGCGCGUAGGCGGGUGUUUAAGUCAGAGGUCAAAUCCCAGGGCUCAACCCUGGAACUGCCUUUGAUACUGGGCACCUAGAGUUCGGGAGAGGUGUGUGGAACUCCGAGUGUAGAGGUGAAAUUCGUAGAUAUUCGGAAGAACACCAGUGGCGAAGGCGACACACUGGCCCGAUACUGACGCUGAGGCGCGAAAGCGUGGGGAGCAAACAGG
rnacentral:rRNA from 1 species